AUCGAACGCUGGCGGCAUGCCUUACACAUGCAAGUCGAACGGCAGCACGGGUGCUUGCCCCUGGUGGCGAGUGGCGAACGGGUGAGUAAUACAUUGGAACAUGUCCUGUAGUGGGGGAUAGCCCGGCGAAAGCCGGAUUAAUACCGCAUACGAUCUACGGAUGAAAGCGGGGGACCUUCGGGCCUCGCGCUAUAGGGUUGGCCGAUGGCUGAUUAGCUAGUUGGUGGGGUAAAGGCCUACCAAGGCGACGAUCAGUAGCUGGUCUGAGAGGACGACCAGCCACACUGGGACUGAGACACGGCCCAGACUCCUACGGGAGGCAGCAGUGGGGAAUUUUGGACAAUGGGCGAAAGCCUGAUCCAGCAAUGCCGCGUGUGUGAAGAAGGCCUUCGGGUUGUAAAGCACUUUUGUCCGGAAAGAAAUCCUUGGCCCUAAUACGGUCGGGGGAUGACGGUACCGGAAGAAUAAGCACCGGCUAACUACGUG
rnacentral:rRNA from 1 species